GAUGAACGCUGGCGGCGUGCCUAAUACAUGCAACUCGAGCGAACGGACGAGAAGCUUGCUUCUCUGAUGUUAGCGGCGGACGGGUGAGUAACACGUGGAUAACCUACCUAUAAGACUGGGAUAACUUCGGGAAACCGGAGCUAAUACCGGAUAAUAUUUUGAACCGCAUAGUUCAAAAGUGAAAGACGGUCUUGCUGUCACUUAUAGAUGGAUCCGCGCUGCAUUAGCUAGUUGGUAAGGUAACGGCUUACCAAGGCAACGAUGCAUAGCCGACCUGAGAGGGUGAUCGGCCACACUGGAACUGAGGCACGGUCCAGACUCCUACGGGAGGCAGCAGUAGGGAAUCUUCCGCAAUGGGCGAAAGCCUGACGGAGCAACGCCGCGUGAGUGAUGAAGGUCUUCGGAUCGUAAAACUCUGUUAUUAGGGAAGAACAUAUGUGUAAGUAACUGUGCACAUCUUGACGGUACCUAAUCAGAAAGCCACGGCUAACUACGUG
rnacentral:rRNA from 1 species